rnacentral:rRNA from 1 species
UACGGGGGGUAAGGCGUUGUCCGGAAUUACUGGGCGUAAAGGGCUCGUAGGCGGCCAACUAAGUCAGACGUGAAAUCCCUCACGGCUUAACUGGGGAACUGCGUCUGAAUACUGGAUGGCUUGGAUUCGGGAGAGGAAUGCGGAAUUCCAGGUGUAGCGGUAGAAAUGCGUAGAUAUCUGGAGGAACACCGGUGGCGAAGGCGGCAUUCUGGACCGACAUUGACGCUGAGGAGCGAAAGCCAGGGGAGCAAACGGG